GGUAUCUUAAGCACACAUGUAAAUUAAGAAUUAAAGAUUUAUCGGUGUACGAUGGGGAUGCGUUCCAUUAGGUAGUAGGCGGGGUAACGGCCCACCAAGGCGACGAUCAGUAGGGGUUCUGAGAGGAAGGCCCCCCACAUUGGAACUGAGACACGGUCCAAACUCCUACGGGAGGCAGCAGUGAGGAAUAUUGGUCAAUGGACGAGAGUCUGAACCAGCCAAGUAGCGUGCAGGAUGAUGGCCCUAUGGGUUGUAAACUGCUUUUAUAAGGGAAUAAAGUGAGUCUCGUGAGACUUUUUGCAUGUACCUUAUGAAUAAGGACCGGCUAAUUCCGUG
rnacentral:rRNA from 1 species